AUUGAACGCUGGCGGCAGGCCUAACACAUGCAAGUCGAGCGGAUGAAGGGAGCUUGCUCCUGGAUUCAGCGGCGGACGGGUGAGUAAUGCCUAGGAAUCUGCCUGGUAGUGGGGGAUAACGUCCGGAAACGGGCGCUAAUACCGCAUACGUCCUGAGGGAGAAAGUGGGGGAUCUUCGGACCUCACGCUAUCAGAUGAGCCUAGGUCGGAUUAGCUAGUUGGUGGGGUAAAGGCCUACCAAGGCGACGAUCCGUAACUGGUCUGAGAGGAUGAUCAGUCACACUGGAACUGAGACACGGUCCAGACUCCUACGGGAGGCAGCAGUGGAGAAUAUUGGACAAUGGGCGAAAGCCUGAUCCAGCCAUGCCGCGUGUGUGAAGAAGGUUUUCGGAUUGUAAAGCACUUUAAGUUGGGAGGAAGGGCAGUAAGUUAAUACCUUGCUGUUUUGACGUUACCAACAGAAUAAGCACCGGCUAACUUCGUG
rnacentral:rRNA from 1 species